GGACGGAAAACAGAAAACACUGCUUCUUCCACUGUACCAUGGACUCCAGGCUCUUUCCCUGGAUGAUGCUCUGUCUCCUGGGAGCAGGGCCAGUGGAGGCUGAAGUCAAACAAACGCCAAGACAGCUGAUUAAAGCAAGAGGGCAACAGGUGACACUGAAUUGCACCCCUGACUCAGGGCACAACCGUGUGUUGUGGUACCAACAGACUCUGGACCAGGGCCUGCAGUUCUUCUUUGAGUAUUACUUGGAGUCACAGAGCGCAAAAGGCAAUGUCCCAGACCGGUUCUCAGCUCACCAGUUCAGUGACUAUCGCUCUGAGCUGAGUGUGAGUGCCCUGGAGCUGGAGGACUCGGCUGUGUAUCUCUGUGCCAGCAGCUUGGCACAGCCAUUCUGAGUCCCCAGCCUGCUGUGCACAAACCUCCUUCCCGCAGAGUGACACAGCUGUGAGAACCUGGGCCCUUGCAGGGGGCAAGAAAAUCGGUGUCUGUGUUCUGAUAUGUGAUACUGAAAACAAUCUUGCCAGUUAAGUGUAGGAUCACAAGACCAAGAGUCAAAAUCUAGCA